rnacentral:rRNA from 1 species
UACGGAGGAUCCAAGCGUUAUCCGGAUUUAUUGGGUUUAAAGGGUGCGUAGGUGGUUCUUUAAGUCAGGGGUGAAAGACGGCAGCUUAACUGUCGCAGUGCCUUUGAUACUGAAGAACUUGAAUGAACUAGAGGUAGGCGGAAUGUGACAAGUAGCGGUGAAAUGCAUAGAUAUGUCAAAGAACACCAAUUGCGAAGGCAGCUUACUAUGGUUUGAUUGACACUGAGGCACGAAAGCGUGGGGAUCAAACAGG